AUUGAACGCUGGCGGAAUGCUUUACACAUGCAAGUCGAACGGUAGAGGGGGCAACCCCUCGAGAGUGGCGAACGGGUGAGUAAUAUAUCGGAACGUGCCCAGUCGUGGGGGAUAACGUAGCGAAAGUUACGCUAAUACCGCAUACGAUCUAAGGAUGAAAGCGGGGGAUCGCAAGACCUCGCGCGAUUGGAGCGGCCGAUAUCAGAUUAGGUAGUUGGUGGGGUAAAGGCUCACCAAGCCAACGAUCUGUAGCUGGUCUGAGAGGACGACCAGCAACACUGGAACGGAGACACGGUCCAGACGCCUACGGGAGAAAGCAGUGGGGAAUUUUGGAGAAUGGACGAAAGUCUGAUCCAGCCAUGCCGCGUGCAGGAUGAAGGCCCUCGGGUUGUAAACUGCUUUUGUACGGAACGAAAAGGUCUCUCUUAAUACGGGGGACUCAUGACGGUACCGUAAGAAUAAGCACCGGCUAACUACGUGCCAGCAGCCGCCGUAA
rnacentral:rRNA from 1 species